rnacentral:rRNA from 1 species
AUGGCAGGCCUCACGGCAUGGAUGAUUUGGCGCCAUCGCAACUCGGUCAUCUUCGACAAGAUCUCUCCUGAUACAUCAAUGGUCGUUGAUGCUAUUAAGGAGGAGGCUCACUUCUGGGCUAGCGCCGGAGCCAAAGGGCUGAAGGAUUUUAUCCGUGUAACAUGA